GACGAACGCUGGCGGCGUGCUUAACACAUGCAAGUCGAACGGAAAGGCCCUGCUUUUGUGGGGUGCUCGAGUGGCGAACGGGUGAGUAACACGUGAGUAACCUGCCCUUGACUUUGGGAUAACUUCAGGAAACUGGGGCUAAUACCGGAUAGGAGCUCCUCCUGCCUGGUGGGGGUUGGAAAGUUUCGUCGGUCGGGGAUGGACUCGCGGCUUAUCAGCUUGUUGGUGGGGUAGUGGCUUACAAAGGCUUUGACGGGUAGCCGGCCUGAGAGGGUGACCGGCAACAUGGGGAUUGAGAUACGGCCCAGACUCCUAAGGGGGGCAGGAGGGGGGAUUGUGGCAAAAUGGGCGGAAGCCUGAUGCAGCAACGCCGCGUGCGGAAUGCCGGCUUUCGGGUUGUAAACCGAUUUCGCCUGGGACGAAGCGUGAGUGACGGUAAUGGGUAAAGAAGCACCGGCUAACUACGUG
rnacentral:rRNA from 1 species